UACAGAGGGGGCAAGCGUUGUUCGGAAUUACUGGGCGUAAAGGGCGCGUAGGCGGCCUGUUAAGUCGAACGUGAAAUCCCUGGGCUCAACCCAGGAACUGCGUCCGAUACUGGCAGGCUUGAAUUCGGGAGAGGGAUGCGGAAUUCCAGGUGUAGCGGUGAAAUGCGUAGAUAUCUGGAGGAACACCGGUGGCGAAGGCGGCAUCCUGGACCAACACUGACGCUGAGUGAGCGAAAGCCAGGGGAGCAAACGGG
rnacentral:rRNA from 1 species